CACGUAGGGGGCAAGCGUUGUCCGGAAUCAUUGGGCGUAAAGGGCUCGUAGGCGGUCUGUUGCGUCGGGAGUGAAAACUCAGGGCUUAACCCUGAGCCUGCUUCCGAUACGGGCAGACUAGAGGUAUGCAGGGGAGAACGGAAUUCCUGGUGUAGCGGUGAAAUGCGCAGAUAUCAGGAGGAACACCGGUGGCGAAGGCGGUUCUCUGGGCAUUACCUGACGCUGAGGAGCGAAAGUGUGGGGAGCGAACAGG
rnacentral:rRNA from 1 species